rnacentral:snoRNA from 1 species
UGUUGAAUGAUGAAAAAAAUCAAUCGGAUUCCCAUUGAUAUUUUCAUAAAUGAGAUUAUAACCAGCUACUUCUGACAACA